AGUGAACGCUGGCGGUAGGCCUAACACAUGCAAGUCGAACGGCAGCACAGUAAGAGCUUGCUCUUACGGGUGGCGAGUGGCGGACGGGUGAGGAAUACAUCGGAAUCUACUUUUUCGUGGGGGAUAACGUAGGGAAACUUACGCUAAUACCGCAUACGACCUACGGGUGAAAGCAGGGGAUCUUCGGACCUUGCGCGAUUGAAUGAGCCGAUGUCGGAUUAGCUAGUUGGCGGGGUAAAGGCCCACCAAGGCGACGAUCCGUAGCUGGUCUGAGAGGAUGAUCAGCCACACUGGAACUGAGACACGGUCCAGACGCCUACGGGAGGCAGCAGUGGGGAAUAUGGGACAAGGGGCGCAAGCCUGAUCCAGCCAUACCGCGGGGGUGAAGAAGGCCUUCGGGUUGUAAAGCCCUUUUGUUGGGAAAGAAAAGCAGCAGGUUAAUACCCCGCUGUUCUGACGGUACCCAAAGAAUAAGCACCGGCUAACUUCGU
rnacentral:rRNA from 1 species